AUGUUGUUUGAACUCAGCAAAGCUGGUCAUUUGGAAUCACUCAAUUUCCUAAACAAGGUUUGGUUCCAGUUUGAGGUAUCUUCUAAUUUGAAUCUGACACCUGAACCUGAUGUUGGACAACAAGAAGAAAUUGAUACAAGCAUAGAACCUGCACCAAAGAAACUAAGAAAGUUGAAUCUUGAGGUUCAUUUAUGUUCCAUCCCCUCACACUAG